GCCUAGUUAGCUUAGUUGGUAGUGCGUCUGCCUUGUAAGCGCUAGGCCGCGGGUUCGAUUCCCGCUCGGGGC
rnacentral:tRNA from 1 species